GUUCUUGAUUGCCAGCAACUGUGUUUCAUCCAGCAAGCUCUGCGAUGUUCCCAUAGUUUCUUGGAGGUGCUUGAACUGCUCAAUGGGGCUGAGUUUCUGACCUUGCGGAAAUGUGAAAUCAUAACCGCUCGGUUUUUUAAAUAUAAUGCUCCAGUCACAUUUCUGUUCCUUAUCAUGCGUAUAUUUUGGUGGAUCCGACUUUUUUGCAAAGACCAACUCAUCCACAAGAG